AUCGCUUCUCUGCCUUUUGCCUAAGAUCAAGUGUAGUAUCUGUUCUUAUCAGUUUCAUGCCAGUGGGGAGACGGGCUGGUGGGGAUGGGUGCUGCAUGGAGGGGGCAGAUGUAAAAGGGCUUUCCGGGGCUGUUUCUGAUGAAUUCUCUCUUAUCAGAGAAAGACUUUUGAUAGACCGCAUCCUUU